AGCUUUGUGCAGUGGCAGUAUCGUAGCCAAUGAGGCACGAUUAUUGCUAAUUGAAAUACUUACAGAAA
rnacentral:snRNA from 1 species